rnacentral:rRNA from 1 species
GCGUGCUUAACACAUGCAAGUCGAACGAUGAACCACUUCGGUGGGGAUUAGUGGCGAACGGGUGAGUAACACGUGGGCAAUCUGCCCUGCACUCUGGGACAAGCCCUGGAAACGGGGUCUAAUACCGGAUACUGACCCGCUUGGGCAUCCAAGCGGUUCGAAAGCUCCGGCGGUGCAGGAUGAGCCCGCGGCCUAUCAGCUUGUUGGUGAGGUAAUGGCUCACCAAGGCGACGACGGGUAGCCGGCCUGAGAGGGCGACCGGCCACACUGGGACUGAGACACGGCCCAGACUCCUACGGGAGGCAGCAGUGGGGAAUAUUGCACAAUGGGCGAAAGCCUGAUGCAGCGACGCCGCGUGAGGGAUGACGGCCUUCGGGUUGUAAACCUCUUUCAGCAGGGAAGAAGCGAAAGUGACGGUACCUGCAGAAGAAGCGCCGGCUAACUACGUGCCAGCAGCCGCGGUAAUACGUAGGGCGCGAGCGUUGUCCGGAAUUAUUGGGCGUAAAGAGCUCGUAGGCGGCUUGUCACGUCGGUUGUGAAAGCCCGGGGCUUAACCCCGGGUCUGCAGUCGAUACGGGCAGGCUAGAGUUCGGUAGGGGAGAUCGGAAUUCCUGGUGUAGCGGUGAAAUGCGCAGAUAUCAGGAGGAACACCGGUGGCGAAGGCGGAUCUCUGGGCCGAUACUGACGCUGAGGAGCGAAAGCGUGGGGAGCGAACAGGAUUAGAUACCCUGGUAGUCCACGCCGUAAACGGUGGGCACUAGGUGUGGGCGACAUUCCACGUCGUCCGUGCCGCAGCUAACGCAUUAAGUGCCCCGCCUGGGGAGUACGGCCGCAAGGCUAANACUCAAAGGAAUUGACGGGGG